rnacentral:piRNA from 1 species
UAAAACNCAUCCUGCAGUGCUUGCUUUCUUG